UAUUGAUGGCUGAAGGUGAAACAUCAGCCAGACGACGACGUCGGGGUGAAAGUAUAAAAAGGGGUUCCAGCCUGGCGCGCCCCUUUAGAUGGUUUGAUGUCAUGACAGGAGAGAGACGUCAAUCCGGAAGUAGCCGCAUUUGCUGCAAGUGAUCCCACCCUUCAACACAUCGAGCGCCUUUGACUGGCCUGCCUGAGAUGCAGAGCUUGUCCCGUUAGGGGUGUCCCCCGUUGUGGCCGACAGCAGCCCCCGUGUGAACGUUCUCUGCUCCACUGAAGUGCAUGACCACAUACACGCAUAAUAAAGACGUUGUUGUGAUGUUCGGAGUGUCCCUGAAUGCACCAUGCUGUUGUCUCGUGACAAUGAGGAAGUGCCGUUCCCAGGACAAGCAGACUGGAGACAUGUUUGUGAGUUGGAGAUACAUACUGUAUAUGGUGUUGAAAUUGCACUGCU